rnacentral:rRNA from 1 species
CCUACGGGAGGCAGCAGUGGGGGAUAUUGCACAAUGGGGGAAACCCUGAUGCAGCGACGCCGCGUGUGGGAAGACGGUCCUCUGGAUUGUAAACCACUGUCCCCAGGGACGAAGAUGACGGUACCUGGGGCGGAAGCUCCGGCUAACUACGUGCCAGCAGCCGCGGUAAUACGUAGGGAGCGAGCGUUGUCCGGAAUUACUGGGUGUAAAGGGAGCGUAGGCGGGACUGCAAGUUGGGUGUCAAAUCUACCGGCUCAACCGGUAGCCGCACUCAAAACUGCAGUUCUUGAGUGAAGUAGAGGCAGGCGGAAUUCCUAGUGUAGCGGUGAAAUGCGUAGAUAUUAGGAGGAACACCAGUGGCGAAGGCGGCCUGCUGGGCUUUGACUGACGCUGAGGCUCGAAAGUGUGGGGAGCAAACAGGAUUAGAUACCCCAGUAGUC